rnacentral:rRNA from 1 species
AGUGAACGCUGGCGGUAGGCCUAACACAUGCAAGUCGAACGGCAGCACAGUAAGAGCUUGCUCUUACGGGUGGCGAGUGGCGGACGGGUGAGGAAUACAUCGGAAUCUACUUUUUCGUGGGGGAUAACGUAGGGAAACUUACGCUAAUACCGCAUACGACCUACGGGUGAAAGCAGGGGAUCUUCGGACCUUGCGCGAUUGAAUGAGCCGAUGUCGGAUUAGCUAGUUGGCGGGGUAAAGGCCCACCAAGGCGACGAUCCGUAGCUGGUCUGAGAGGAUGAUCAGCCACACUGGAACUGAGACACGGUCCAGACUCCUACGGGAGGCAGCAGUGGGGAAUAUUGGACAAUGGGCGCAAGCCUGAUCCAGCCAUACCGCGUGGGUGAAGAAGGCCUUCGGGUUGUAAAGCCCUUUUGUUGGGAAAGAAAAGCAGCAGGUUAAUACCCCGCUGUUCUGACGGUACCCAAAGAAUAAGCACCGGCUAAUUUCGUG